CCAGACUCCUACGGGAGGCAGCAGUGAGGAAUAUUGGUCAAUGGCCGGGAGGCUGAACCAGCCAAGUCGCGUGAGGGAAGACGGCCCUACGGGUUGUAAACCUCUUUUGUCAGGGAGCAAGGUGCAGGUCGGGACCUGCUGUGAGAGUACCUGAAGAAAAAGCAUCGGCUAGCUCCGUGCCAGCAGCCGCGGUAAUACGGAGGAUGCGAGCGUUAUCCGGAUUUAUUGGGUUUAAAGGGUGCGCAGGCGGCGUGUCAAGUCAGCGGUAAAAUGUCGGGGCUCAACCCCGGCCGGCCGUUGAAACUGGCGUGCUCGAGUUGGAGAGAAGUACGCGGAAUGCGUGGUGUAGCGGUGAAAUGCAUAGAUAUCACGCAGAACUCCGAUUGCGAAGGCAGCGUACCGGCGCCCAACCGACGCUGAAGCACGAAGGCGUGGGUAUCGAACAGGAUUAGAUACCCUCGUAAAG
rnacentral:rRNA from 1 species